rnacentral:rRNA from 1 species
UGCGUAGGUUGUUUUGUAAGUUGACUGUGAAAGUCCUGGGCUCAACCUAGGGAUGUCAGUUAAGACUGUAAGACUUGAGUAUGGGAGAGGGUAGUGGAAUUUCCGGUGUAGCGGUGAAAUGCGUAGAUAUCGGAAGGAACACCGGUGGCGAAGGCGUCUACCUGGCCUGAUACUGACACUGAAGCACGAAAGCGUGGGAAGCAAACAG